AUUCUUUCGCAGAGGCAAUAUCGUAACCUAUGAGGUUCGUCCGAGGCGCGAUCAUUGCUGGUUGUAAAUUUUUAGGGGCAGUCAUGGCCUAAUGGUUAGAGAGUCGGACUCGCAACUCAAAGGUUGCGGGGUUUGAAUCUCGGUACCGGCAGGGAUUUUUGGUUAAGGAAAUGAGGCUCUCUCUUCCAUCCU
rnacentral:snRNA from 1 species